rnacentral:ncRNA from 2 species
AUUUUUGGCUCGGGGCGUCUAUUAUUGACUUAACUCCAUUUAUUUGGAUUAUAGCGGUACAGACUGAGAAGCACCCGUAUUACCUGAUCUGGAUAAUGCCAGCGUAGGGAAGUCGGAAGCGUCUCAA